UCGAUGGAGAGUUUGAUCCUGGCUCAGGACGAACGCUGGCGGCGUGCCUAACACAUGCAAGUCGAACGAGGUUCAGUUGGUAGCAAUACCAGCGAAGACCUAGUGGCGAACGGGUGAGUAGCACGUGAGCAACCUGCCCCGAAGACCGGGACAACACCGGGAAACCGGUGCUAAUACCGGAUACCCCCACCAGAUCGCAUGUUCUGGUGAGGAAAUGGAUUCCGCUUCGGGAGGGGCUCGCGGCCUAUCAGCUUGUUGGUGGGGUAACGGCCUACCAAGGCAUCGACGGGUAGCUGGUCUGAGAGGACGAUCAGCCACACUGGGACUGAGACACGGCCCAGACUCCUACGGGAGGCAGCAGUGGGGAAUCUUGCACAAUGGGCGAAAGCCUGAUGCAGCAACGCCGCGUGAGGGACGAAGGCUUUCUGAGUUGUAAACCUCUUUCAGCAGGGACGAUAAUGACGGUACCUGCAGAAGAAGCCCCGGCCAACUACGUGCCAGCAGCCGCGGUAAUACGUAGGGGGCGAGCGUUGUCCGGAUUCAUUGGGCGUAAAGAGCUCGUAGGCGGCUUGGCAAGUCGGAUGUGAAACCUCCAGGCUUAACCUGGAGCCGCCAUCCGAUACUGCCAUGGCUAGAGUUUGGUAGGGGACCACGGAAUUCCUGGUGUAGCGGUGAAAUGCGCAGAUAUCAGGAGGAACACCAGCGGCGAAGGCGGUGGUCUGGGCCAACACUGACGCUGAGGAGCGAAAGCGUGGGGAGCGAACAGGAUUAGAUACCCUGGUAGUCCACGCCGUAAACGUUGGGCACUAG
rnacentral:rRNA from 1 species